AUUGAACGCUGGCGGCAGGCUUAACACAUGCAAGUCGAGCGGAGAUGAGGUGCUUGCACCUUACCUUAGCGGCGGACGGGUGAGUAAUGCUUAGGAAUCUGCCUAUUAGUGGGGGACAACAUUCCGAAAGGAAUGCUAAUACCGCAUACGCCCUACGGGGGAAAGCAGGGGAGCUUCGGACCUUGCGCUACGAGAUGCGCCUCAGUCGGAUUAGCUAGUUGGUGGGGUAAAGGCCUACCAAGGCUCCGAGCUGUAGCGGGUCUGAGAGGAUGAUCCGCCACACUGGGACUGAGACACGGCCCAGACUCCUACGGGAGGCAGCAGUGGGGAAUAUUGGACAAUGGGCGGAAGCCUGAUCCAGCCAUGCCGCGUGUGUGAAGAAGGCCUUUUGGUUGUAAAGCACUUUAAGCGAGGAGGAGGCUACCUGGAUUAAUACUCUAGGAUAGUGGACGUUACUCGCAGAAUAAGCACCGGCUAACUCUGUGCCAGCAGCCGCCGUAACAC
rnacentral:rRNA from 1 species